rnacentral:rRNA from 1 species
AGCGAACGCUGGCGGCAGGCUUAACACAUGCAAGUCGAGCGCCCCGCAAGGGGAGCGGCAGACGGGUGAGUAACACGUGGGAACGUGCCUUUUGGUUCGGAACAACCCAGGGAAACUUGGGCUAAUACCGGAUAAGCCCUUACGGGGAAAGAUUUAUCGCUAAAAGAUCGGCCCGCGUCUGAUUAGCUAGUUGGUGGGGUAAUGGCCCACCAAGGCUACGAUCAGUAGCUGGUCUGAGAGGAUGAUCAGCCACAUUGGGACUGAGACACGGCCCAAACUCCUACGGGAGGCAGCAGUGGGGAAUAUUGGACAAUGGGGGCAACCCUGAUCCAGCCGUGCCGCGUGAGUGUUGAAGGCCUUAGGGUUGUAAAGCUCUUUUAGCAGGGAAGAUAAUGACGGUACCUGCAGAAAAAGCCCCGGCUAACUUCGUGCCAGCCGCCGCAGUAACAC